rnacentral:rRNA from 1 species
CACAGGGAUUGCCCCAGUAACGGCGAGUGAAGCGGCAGGAGCUCAAAUUUGAAAUCUGGGGUCGCGAGGCCUCCGAGUUGUAAUUUGGAGAGGCAUCUCCCGGGGGGAGCGCCGGCCCAUGUUCCUUGGAACAGGACGUCACAGAGGGUGAGAAUCCCGUGCCAGGCCGGCUGCCUCCUCUCGGGUGGAGGGCCUUCGACGAGUCGAGUUGUUUGGGAAUGCAGCUCCAACUGGGUGGUAAAUUUCAUCUAAAGCUAAAUACCGGCGGGAGACCGAUAGCGCACAAGUAGAGUGAUCGAAAGAUGAAAAGCACUUUGAAAAUAGAGUCAAAAAGUACGUGAAAUUGUUGAAAGGGAAGCGCUUGAGACCAGACUCGGGCACGGGCAAACAUCGCGCCCCUCGGGGCCGUGCAAUUGCCCGGGCCCGGGCCAGCAUCAGUCGGCCCGGCGGGACAAAGGCGUGGGGAAUGUGGCUCCCCUCGGGGAGUGUUAUUAGGCCCGCGCUCAAUGCCGCCGGCGCCGACUGAGGACCGCGCCCCGGCUAGGAUGCUGGCUUAAUGGCCUUCAGCGACCCGUCUUGAAACACGGACCAAGGAGUCUAACAUCUAUGCGAGUGUUUGGGCGCCAAACCCUUGCGCGUAAUGAAAGUGAGCGGAGGUGAGAACCCCCCAGCGGGGCGCACCAUCGACCGAUCCUGAUGUCUUCGGAUGGAUUUGAGUAGGAGCAUAGCUGUUGGGACCCGAAAGAUGGUGAACUAUGCCUGAAUAGGGUGAAGCCAGAGGAAACUCUGGUGGAGGCUCGCAGCGGUUCUGACGUGCAAAUCGAUCGUCAAAUUUGGGUAUAGGGGCGAAAGACUAAUCGAACCAUCUAGUACUGGUCC